GACGAACGCUGGCGGCGUGCUUAACACAUGCAAGUCGAACGGAAAGGCCCUUCGGGGUACUCGAGUGGCGAACGGGUGAGUAACACGUGGGUGAUCUGCCCUGCACUUUGGGAUAAGCCUGGGACACUGGGUCUAAUACCGAAUAGGACCACGCGCUUCAUGGUGUGUGGUGGAAAGCUUUUGCGGUGUGGGAUGGGCCCGCGGCCUAUCAGCUUGUUGGUGGGGUAAUGGCCUACCAAGGCGACGACGGGUAGCCGGCCUGAGAGGGUGACCGGCCACACUGGGACUGAGAUACGGCCCAGACUCCUACGGGAGGCAGCAGUGGGGAAUAUUGCACAAUGGGCGCAAGCCUGAUGCAGCGACGCCGCGUGAGGGAUGACGGCCUUCGGGUUGUAAACCUCUUUCAAUAGGGACGAAGCGCAAGUGACGGUACCUAUAGAAGAAGCACCGGCCAACUACGUG
rnacentral:rRNA from 1 species